GUCUUCGUAGUAUAGUGGUAAGGACGCUCGGCGCGUAUUCAAGAGGUCCGUGGUUCGAAUUCCGGCGAAGGCG
rnacentral:tRNA from 1 species